rnacentral:rRNA from 1 species
CCGGUACGAGGACAGUGUCAGGUGGGCAGUUUGACUGGGGCGGUCGCCUCCUAAAGAGUAACGGAGGCGCCCCAAGGUUCCCUCAGAAUGGUUGGAAAUCAUUCGAAGAGUGCAAAGGCAGAAGGGAGCUUGACUGCGAGACCUACAAGUCGAGCAGGGACGAAAGUCGGGCUUAGUGAUCCGGUGGUACCGCAUGGAAGGGCCAUCGCUCAACGGAUAAAAGCUACCCUGGGGAUAACAGGCUUAUCUCCCCCAAGAGUCCACAUCGACGGGGAGGUUUGGCACCUCGAUGUCGGCUCAUCGCAUCCUGGGGCUGAAGUAGGUCCCAAGGGUUGGGCUGUUCGCCCAUUAAAGCGGUACGCGAGCUGGGUUCAGAACGUCGUGAGACAGUUCGGUCCCUAUCUGUCGUGGGCGUAGGAAAUUUGAGAGGAGCUGUCCUUAGUACGAGAGGACCGGGAUGGACGUACCGCUGGUGUACCAGUUGUUCCGCCAGGAGCACCGCUGGGUAGCUAUGUACGGAAGGGAUAAGCGCUGAAAGCAUCUAAGCGUGAAGCCCCCCUCAAGAUGAGAUUUCCCA